rnacentral:lncRNA from 1 species
GCUGGAAUGGGGCAGAGAAAGAAAAUGACCUACUGUGGGGGCACCUGCCAUUGAAUUACUGCUGAUGGUUGCCGCAUGGGAAUGCCAGCUACUGUUCUCAGAUAUUCUGUGUCCACCAGAAGCUGGACAUCUGGAUUUUUGUCUCCUACAAGCCCCACGUCCAGGCUCAGCAGCCCCAGUGGUCCAUGACUCCCACCUGGUACUAUGGACACAGGCCUUUCCAACCUUCCAUUGUUGGCAAUUUACUGCUCUCCUGCUUGGGACAAAUUCCUUUCUCCACUACAUCCAAUCCCUUUUCAGGAUCAUAAGCCUCAGAGAAAGAAUUUCAGCUGAUGUGUCAAAGUCAGCAAGGCUUGGGGAGGCUCUCUGGCCCGUACAGAGUCACACAGCAAGCUAGCAGCAAGUCCAACCUGGACCCAGGCCUCACAACCUGGGCUCCUUCUGCAUUGCUGACCCCUAGACCUAUACAGAGUCUGCCUUUCAACAACUGGAGAUUUCUAGGUCCCUGAUUCAGAAAGAAGGCCUGGCUGGCACCCCAGUCUGCACGGAGGUUCCUUAGGGGUCUAUCAGAUGCCAGCUGGAACUGUAAACAGUUACGAACUUUCAUUUCCAUCUCUAAUUCUUUGUAAACUUGAGAAAUUCUAGCAAAGACAAGCAACACCUCACUACCCCCUUGACUGAUGGUCAUGGAGUCCACAGAGCUCUUCUUCCACCCGCCUCUGGUCUGCAAAUGUAAAACAUGGAGAAUGCCUGCUGAACAAAGUGGCGAGAUGAAGUGCAGGGAAGGUGGCCAGCUUACUUGGGUCACAGGGGUAGUGUGAAGGAGGCCAGGGUGAACUUCCUCUCCGUUCCAUCUGCUUCGAUGGGCAAGGCUGGACAUGCAGAGAUGAGAUAAGAAGAGAAAAUGCUUUGAGCUCUUGGACCCCCCAAG